UGGAAGGAAAAAAUUUUCUGACCGUUAAUUAAUUCACUUAAUUUAAUUGUUCUGUUUUUUUUAUAUUAUUUCUCAUUAAUUUCCUAACAUGUAGAUUAUCUAGUCACGUAGGAAUCAAUUCUAUCACAUGUAAUCUCCAUUGGAAAAACUCAGGAUCGUCUUUGGAAAUGUAAUCAAAGUGUUGAGUCAAUUUCUCAAUUUGAUUGAUUUUUUUCUCUCUCUCUCUCAAUAGGAUAUUAAUUGUGUAUCUUAUCCGAAAAUGAUUCAAUCCUGAUGAGUUUCUCUCCAUCCAAUUGGUUACAUUUUCCUCAUCCUAUCUAAUCAUUGAUUCUCUUCACCAUUUCAUCAGUAAUCAAGGCCCUCUGAUUGCGUGACUUUGACACUUUUCCAUCAUUACAUCAACUCAUCAUUACAUGACAAUCACAUAAUCAUCACAUCAUCAUUAUUAUCGUGAUAGGACAACCUCCCCCACCCAUACACACAGCCCAUGAAUGAGUAAUAUUCAAUCAAUCACAGAUGACUUGGUAUUGUGUUUCAUAUACUAAACAAAAUGGAGCAAAAUAAUUGUCAAUUAACCUGAUUAUUGGCUGUAAUCAUUUAAUUGAGACGAUGAAGAAAAGGAGGAAGAGGACGACGAUGGAAUUAGGAAAAAAAAAGAGCUAAAGGAUGACAUCAAAAUAAUAACAAUGGUAAUAAUGAUGACGAUGAUAAUGAUAGUAAUAAUAACGAUUAUAAUGGACAGUUGACAGUUUGUAUUGUAUACAAAUUGUCACAAGGGAACAGUGAUAACUGUAAUCCAUCAAAUAAUCAAUGUUUUUCCAGAAUGACACCAAGAGAUUGGAAUGAAACAAAACCAAUAUUGGACCUGUUUAUGCAACCUCACGACAAACAUGAAAUUAAACAUUCAUAA